UUAAGCGACUAAGCGUACACGGUGGAUGCCCUGGCAGUCAGAGGCGAUGAAGGACGUGCUAAUCUGCGAAAAGCGUCGGUAAGGUGAUAUGAACCGUUAUAGCCGGCGAUGUCCGAAUGGGGAAACCCAGUGCAAUUCGUUGCACUAUCGUUAACUGAAUACAUAGGUUAACGAGGCGAACCGGGGGAACUGAAACAUCUAAGUACCCCGAGGAAAAGAAAUCAACCGAGAUUCCCCCAGUAGCGGCGAGCGAACGGGGAGCAGCCCAGAGUCUGAAUCAGCUUGUGUGUUAGUGGAACGGUCUGGAAAGUCCGACGGUACAGGGUGAUAGUCCCGUACACCAAAAUGCACAGGUUGUGAACUCGAAGAGUAGGGCGGGACACGUGGUAUCCUGUCUGAAUAUGGGGGGACCAUCCUCCAAGGCUAAAUACUCCUGACUGACCGAUAGUGAACCAGUACCGUGAGGGAAAGGCGAAAAGAACCCCGGCGAGGGGAGUGAAAAAGAACCUGAAACCGUGUACGUACAAGCAGUGGGAGCACCUUCGGGUGUGACUGCGUACCUUUUGUAUAAUGGGUCAGCGACUUAUAUUCUGUAGCAAGGUUAACCGUAUAGGGGAGCCGCAGGGAAACCGAGUCUUAACUGGGCGUUAAGUUGCAGGGUAUAGACCCGAAACCCGGUGAUCUAGCCAUGGGCAGGUUGAAGGUUGGGUAACACUAACUGGAGGACCGAACCGACUAAUGUUGAAAAAUUAGCGGAUGACUUGUGGCUGGGGGUGAAAGGCCAAUCAAACCGGGAGAUAGCUGGUUCUCCCCGAAAGCUAUUUAGGUAGCGCCUCGUGAACUCAUCUUCGGGGGUAGAGCACUGUUUCGGCUAGGGGGUCAUCCCGACUUACCAACCCGAUGCAAACUACGAAUACCGAAGAAUGUUAUCACGGGAGACACACGGCGGGUGCUAACGUCCGUCGUGAAGAGGGAAACAACCCAGACCGCCAGCUAAGGUCCCAAAGUCAUGGUUAAGUGGGAAACGAUGUGGGAAGGCACAGACAGCCAGGAUGUUGGCUUAGAAGCAGCCAUCAUUUAAAGAAAGCGUAAUAGCUCACUGGUCGAGUCGGCCUGCGCGGAAGAUGUAACGGGGCUAAACCAUGCACCGAAGCUGCGGCAGCGACACUNUAUGUGUUGUUGGGUAGGGGAGCGUUCUGUAAGCCUGCGAAGGUGGCCUGUGAGGGCUGCUGGAGGUAUCAGAAGUGCGAAUGCUGACAUAAGUAACGAUAAAGCGGGUGAAAAGCCCGCUCGCCGGAAGACCAAGGGUUCCUGUCCAACGUUAAUCGGGGCAGGGUGAGUCGACCCCUAAGGCGAGGCCGAAAGGCGUAGUCGAUGGGAAACAGGUUAAUAUUCCUGUACUUGGUGUUACUGCGAAGGGGGGACGGAGAAGGCUAUGUUAGCCGGGCGACGGUUGUCCCGGUUUAAGCAUGUAGGCGGAGGUUCCAGGUAAAUCCGGUACCUUUUAACGCUGAGGUGUGAUGACGAGGCACUACGGUGCUGAAGUAACAAAUGCCCUGCUUCCAGGAAAAGCCUCUAAGCAUCAGGUAACAUUAAAUCGUACCCCAAACCGACACAGGUGGUCAGGUAGAGAAUACCAAGGCGCUUGAGAGAACUCGGGUGAAGGAACUAGGCAAAAUGGUGCCGUAACUUCGGGAGAAGGCACGCUGGUGUGUAGGUGAAGUCCCUGCGGAUGGAGCUGAGACCAGUCGAAGAUACCAGCUGGCUGCAACUGUUUAUUAAAAACACAGCACUGUGCAAACACGAAAGUGGACGUAUACGGUGUGACGCCUGCCCGGUGCCGGAAGGUUAAUUGAUGGGGUUAUCCGUAAGGAGAAGCUCUUGAUCGAAGCCCCGGUAAACGGCGGCCGUAACUAUAACGGUCCUAAGGUAGCGAAAUUCCUUGUCGGGUAAGUUCCGACCUGCACGAAUGGCGUAAUGAUGGCCAGGCUGUCUCCACCCGAGACUCAGUGAAAUUGAACUCGCUGUGAAGAUGCAGUGUACCCGCGGCAAGACGGAAAGACCCCGUGAACCUUUACUAUAGCUUGACACUGAACAUUGAGCCUUGAUGUGUAGGAUAGGUGGGAGGCUUUGAAGCGUGGACGCCAGUCUGCGUGGAGCCAACCUUGAAAUACCACCCUUUAAUGUUUGAUGUUCUAACGUUGGCCCCUAAUCGGGGUUGCGGACAGUGUCUGGUGGGUAGUUUGACUGGGGCGGUCUCCUCCCAAAGAGUAACGGAGGAGCACGAAGGUUAGCUAAUCCUGGUCGGACAUCAGGAGGUUAGUGCAAUGGCAUAAGCUAGCUUGACUGCGAGCGUGACGGCGCGAGCAGGUGCGAAAGCAGGUCAUAGUGAUCCGGUGGUUCUGAAUGGAAGGGCCAUCGCUCAACGGAUAAAAGGUACUCCGGGGAUAACAGGCUGAUACCGCCCAAGAGUUCAUAUCGACGGCGGUGUUUGGCACCUCGAUGUCGGCUCAUCACAUCCUGGGGCUGAAGUAGGUCCCAAGGGUAUGGCUGUUCGCCAUUUAAAGUGGUACGCGAGCUGGGUUUAGAACGUCGUGAGACAGUUCGGUCCCUAUCUGCCGUGGGCGCUGGAGAAUUGAGGGGGGCUGCUCCUAGUACGAGAGGACCGGAGUGGACGCAUCACUGGUGUUCGGGUUGUCAUGCCAAUGGCACUGCCCGGUAGCUAAAUGCGGAAGAGAUAAGUGCUGAAAGCAUCUAAGCACGAAACUUGCCCCGAGAUGAGUUCUCCCUGAGACUUUAAGUCUCCUGAAGGAACGUUGAAGACGACGACGUUGAUAGGCCGGGUGUGUAAGCGCAGCGAUGCGUUGAGCUAACCGGUACUAAUGAACCGUGAGGCUUAACCUU
rnacentral:rRNA from 1 species